rnacentral:rRNA from 1 species
AACGAACGCUGGCGGCAGGCCUAACACAUGCAAGUCGAACGAUAUAGUGGCAGACGGGUGAGUAACGCGUGGGAACGUACCUUUCGCUACGGAAUAGCUCUGGGAAACUGGUGGUAAUACCGUAUACGCCCUUAGGGGGAAAGAUUUAUCGGCGAAAGAUCGGCCCGCGUUAGAUUAGGUAGUUGGUGGGGUAAUGGCCUACCAAGCCUACGAUCUAUAGCUGGUCUGAGAGGAUGAUCAGCCACACUGGGACUGAGACACGGCCCAGACUCCUACGGGAGGCAGCAGUGGGGAAUCUUGCACAAUGGGCGAAAGCCUGAUGCAGCCAUGCCGCGUGAAUGAUGAAGGCCUUAGGGUUGUAAAAUUCUUUCGCUAGGGAUGAUAAUGACAGUACCUAGUAAAGAAGCCCCGGCUAACUUCGUG